AGCAGCCGCGGUAAUUCCAGCUCCAAUAGCGUAUAUUAAAGUUGUUGCAGUUAAAAAGCUCGUAGUUUGAAUUUCGGGAUCAAUAUGUCGGUCGUGCCUUCGGUACGCACUGGUAUCAUUGGUUUCUCCUUUCUGACGAACCAUGAUGUCAUUAAUUUGGUGUUAUGGGGAGUUAGGACUGUUACUUUGAAAAAAUUAGAGUGUUUAAAGCAGGCUUUAGCUUGAAUACAUUAGCAUGGAAUAAUGAAAUAGGACGUUCGAACCUAUUUUGUUGGUUUCUAGGAUCAACGUAAUGAUUAAUAGGGAUAGUUGGGGGCAUUAGUAUUCAAUUGUCAGAGGUGAAAUUCUUGGAUUUAUUGAAGACUAACUACUGCGAAAGCAUUUGCCAAGGAUGUUUUCAUUAAUCAAGAACGAAAGUUAGGGGAUCGAAGACGAUCAGAUACCGUCGUAGUCUUAACCAUAAAGCUAUGCCGAGCUAUGGGAUCGAAGGAUGUUAAUUUUUUAAUGACUCA
rnacentral:rRNA from 1 species